AUUGAACGCUGGCGGCAGGCCUAACACAUGCAAGUCGAGCGGAUGAACGGUGCUUGCUCCCGGAUUCAGCGGCGGACGGGCGAGUAAUGCCUAGGAAUCUGCCUGGUAGUGGGGUAUAACGUCCGGAAACGGGCGCUAAUACCGUAUACGCCCCGAGGGCGUAAGUGGGGGAUCUUCGGACCUCACGCUAUUAGAUGAGCCUAGGUCGGAUUAGCUAGUUGGUGGGGUAAAGGCCUACCAAGGCGACGAUCCGUAACUGGUCUGAGAGGAUGAUCAGUCACACUGGAACUGAGACACGGUCCAGACUCCUACGGGAGGCAGCAGUGGGGAAUAUUGGACAAUGGGCGAAAGCCUGAUCCAGCCAUGCCGCGUGUGUGAAGAAGGUCUUCGGAUUGUAAAGCACUUUGAUUUGGGAAGAAGGGCAGUAGGUUAAUACCUUGCUGUUUUGACGUUACCAACAGAAUAAGCACCGGCUAACUUCGUG
rnacentral:rRNA from 1 species